GAUGAACGCUGGCGGCGUGCCUAAUACAUGCAAGUCGAGCGAACAGACGAGGAGCUUGCUCCUCUGAUGUUAGCGGCGGACGGGUGAGUAACACGUGGAUAACCUACCUAUAAGACUGGGAUAACUUCGGGAAACCGGAGCUAAUACCGGAUAACAUGUUGAACCGCAUGGUUCAACAGUGAAAGACGGUCUUGCUGUCACUUAUAGAUGGAUCCGCGCCGCAUUAGAUAGUUGGUAAGGUAACGGCUUACCAAGGCAACGAUGCGUAGCCGACCUGAGAGGGUGAUCGGCCACACUGGAACUGAGACACGGUCCAGACUCCUACGGGAGGCAGCAGUAGGGAAUCUUCCGCAAUGGGCGAAAGCCUGACGGAGCAACGCCGCGUGAGUGAAGAAGGUCUUCGGAUCGUAAAACUCUGUUAUUAGGGAAGAACAAAUGUGUAAGUAACUAUGCACGUCUUGACGGUACCUAAUCAGAAAGCCACGGCUAACUACGUG
rnacentral:rRNA from 1 species